rnacentral:rRNA from 1 species
UACAGAGGUCUCAAGCGUUGUUCGGAUUCAUUGGGCGUAAAGGGUACGUAGGCGGCGCGGUAAGUCGGGUGUGAAAUCUCGGGGCUUAACUCCGAAACUGCAUUCGAUACUGCCGUGCUUGAGGACUGGAGAGGAGACUGGAAUUUACGGUGUAGCGGUGAAAUGCGUAGAUAUCGUAAGGAAGACCAGUGGCGAAGGCGGGUCUCUGGACAGUACCUGACGCUGAGGCACGAAGGCCAGGGGAGCAAACGGG